GAUGAACGCUAGCGGCAGGCUUAAUACAUGCAAGUCGUGGGGCAGCAUGAGUAGCAAUACUUGAUGGCGACCGGCAAACGGGUGAGGAACACGUACACAACCUUCCUUCAAGCGGGGAAUAGCCCAGAGAAAUUUGGAUUAAUACCCCAUAAUAUAUUUGAUAAGGCAUCUUAUUAAUAUUAAAGCUUACGGCACUUGAUGAUGGGUGUGCGGCUGAUUAGAUAGUUGGCGGGGUAACGGCCCACCAAGUCUACGAUCAGUAGCUGAUGUGAGAGCAUGAUCAGCCACACGGGCACUGAGACACGGGCCCGACUCCUACGGGA
rnacentral:rRNA from 1 species